GCAGGUGUAGUUUAGUGGUAGGGAACUUGCCUAGGAUGCAUAAGGCCUGGGUUCUAUUCCCAGCAUUGUA
rnacentral:tRNA from 1 species